UACGUAGGUGGCAAGCGUUGUCCGGAUUUAUUGGGUUUAAAGGGUGCGUAGGCGGUCUUUUAAGUCAGUGCUGAAAUAUCCCGGCUUAACCGGGAGGGUGGCAUUGAUACUGAAGGACUUGAGUAAAGUUGAGGUAGGCGGAAUUGACGGUGUAGCGGUGAAAUGCUUAGAUAUCAGGAGGAACACCGAUGGCGAAGGCAGGUCUCUGGGCAUUAACUGACGCUGAGGAGCGAAAGCAUGGGGAGCGAACAGG
rnacentral:rRNA from 1 species